UCUUUAGAAAAAUGUUUUCUCUCGCGAGACAUCAAAACAUGCCAACUUCCCUCAAUCUUAAACAUCGUAUCUAGUUCUAGCUCUCCCUCCAUGGCUGUUGCUUCAUCAGUCUCAGUCUCAGUCUCGCUCCAUACUUGUUAUUCUCAAUCUCAUAAACACGCUCUUCGCGUGGAACUAGUUUACAGUGUUUUAUCAUACUUGGAAGUUAUAUAAGGAAUGAAAAACAAUGUUAGUUCAAGUGUCUUUUCAGUCUAAUACAAAAAGUAUUGUAGGAAUGAAGUAACAAAUUUCAUUUUGCAUUAACUAGAAAAGUAUUCUAUUAUGAGUUACUAGCUAUGUAGCACCGACGCUUCAAAUUGAGGGUGUAUUUGAAUGUCUGACAAGUGUUGGUGUUUGACACAGCCACACAAUACGGAUACUUGUGAUUACUUACACUCACUUAUGUUUUCUCAAAUUAUGAUUGGUGUUAGUUUGAUACUGUUGUGUUAGAUUAUCACAUAUUAAAGCUAUCUAAUCAUGAGAUGAAAUGUGGUUGUGCAUAUAGGAAAUGGACAGAUGCUUAGAAGACAACAUCAAAAGGUAAUUCUACAAGCAGAAGCAGCAGUGUAAAUCAUCUAUCUUCCACAAAUGGUUCCUAUUCCUACUCAAAAAAAGAAAACUACAAAGUAUCACCAGCUCCAUCAGCUGUAACAGAAAUGAGUCCAAAAGCAUACAGUGGCCAUUUUGAAGAUUGCUUCAGUACAGCUCAAAGCAGUCCUCUUUGCUAGUCCGCUAUAUCGAAAACAGAUGAUUCAACUUCAGAUCAUCCUUUUUCUUUCCCUAAACAGUCUUAUGCAUAAACUAUGUACUAUCCUGUGAUUACCCUUUGUAUCCAAGUUACAUGGUUAAUACACAGAAUAAUCCAAGGCUAAAGUUAGAUCACACAGUGCACCAAAACAAAGGCCAGAUUGAUUUAAAAUGAAACCGAGCCGACAAAGAGUUUCGGUGGAGGGAAGAAAUGUACCUAGACCAGUGAGGAUGCAGAGGUCAUCAUCACAUGUUGGUGCCACUGCUCAGAACUACGAAUAUCCAUGGUCAAUUAAGCUCGAUAUAUCAGUGGUUUUGCUCCAAGGCAGCGAGGCUGGCUCGACAAGUACAAUGCUCACAAAUACUAAUUACUGCAGAUCUCUUGUUACAUAAGAUGUGAGUAGUACCAACUACUCUCAUACUACUAGUUUUUAUCAUACAAAACAUUAAGAAAUAACUAUAUAGGAUAAGUUGUUAAUUGCUUUGUUACACUGUUUAGAUUAAAAUCAGCAUAAAAUAUACAUUUUUCCACAA